GGCUGUUCGCCAUUUAAAGUGGUACGCGAGCUGGGUUUAGAACGUCGUGAGACAGUUCGGUCCCUAUCUGCCGUGGGCGCUGGAGAACUGAGGGGGGCUGCUCCUAGUACGAGAGGACCGGAGUGGACGCAUCACUGGUGUUCGGGUUGUCAUGCCAAUGGCACUGCCCGGUAGCUAAAUGCGGAAGAGAUAAGUGCUGAAAGCAUCUAAGCACGAAACUUGCCCCGAGAUGAGUUCUCCCUGAGACUUUAAGUCUCCUGAAGGAACGUUGAAGACGACGACGUUGAUAGGCCGGGUGUGUAAGCGCAGCGAUGCGUUGAGCUAACCGGUACUAAUGAACCGUGAGGCUUAACCUU
rnacentral:rRNA from 1 species